rnacentral:rRNA from 1 species
GCUACGGGAGGCAGCGGUGGGGGAUAUUGCACAAUGGGGGAAACCCUGAUGCAGCGACGCCGCGUGAGUGAAGAAGUAUUUCGGUAUGUAAAGCUCUAUCAGCAGGGAAGAAAAUGACAGUACCUGACCAAGAAGCCCCGGCUAACUACGUGCCAGCAGCCGCGGUAAUACGUAGGGGGCAAGCGUUAUCCGGAUUUACUGGGUGUAAAGGGAGCGUAGACGGCAGUGCAAGUCUGGAGUGAAAGGCGGGGGCUCAACCCCCGGACUGCUCUGGAAACUGUACGGCUGGAGUGCAGGAGAGGUAAGUGGAAUUCCUAGGGUAGCGGUGAAAUGCGUAGAUAUUAGGAGGAACACCAGUGGCGAAGGCGGCUUACUGGACUGUAACUGACGUUGAGGCUCGAAAGCGUGGGGAGCAAACAGGAUUAGAUACCCUUGUAGUC